rnacentral:rRNA from 1 species
GAUGAACGCUGGCGGCGUGCCUAAUACAUGCCAGUCGAGCGAACGGACGAGAAGCUUGCUUCUCUGAUGUUAGCGGCGGACGGGUGAGUAACACGUGGAUAACCUACCUAUAGGACUGGGAUAACUUCGGGAAACCGUAGCUAAUACCGGAUAAUAUUUUGAACCGCAUGGUUCAAAAGUGAAAGACGGUCUUGCUGUCACUUAUAGAUGGAUCCGCGCUGCAUUAGCUAGUUGGUAAGGUAACGGCUUACCAAGGCAACGAUGCAUAGCCGACCUGAGAGGGUGAUCGGCCACACUGGAACUGAGACACGGUCCAGACUCCUACGGGAGGCAGCAGUAGGGAAUCUUCCGCAAUGGGCGAAAGCCUGACGGAGCAACGCCGCGUGAGUGAUGAAGGUCUUCGGAUCGUAAAACUCUGUUAUUAGGGAAGAACAUAUGUGUAAGUAACUGUGCACAUCUGGACGGUACCUAAGCAGAAAGCCACGGCUAACUACGG